GGAGUUGGCCAGGCAGCCGCUGUGCGGGUGACCGCAUGGAGGAAAGUCCGGGCUCCACAGGGCAGGGUGCCAGGUAACACCUGGGCGCUAUAAGUCGAAAGGCCCAAGGCGACGGAAAGUGCAACAGAGAGCAGACCGCCGAUGGCCGAUCGCAAGAUCGGAUCAGGUAAGGGUGAAACGGCGAGGUAAGAGCUCACCGCGGACGUGGCAACACGGACGGCACGGUAAACCCCACCCGGAGCAAGGCCAAAUAGGCAGGCGCGUCUUUUGACAUCGGCGGUCCGCCGAGCCUGCGGGUAGGCUGCUAGAGGCGACGGGUGACCGUCGUCCCAGAUGAAUGGCUGCCCACGACAAAACCCGGCUUAUCGGCCAACUCCACCU
rnacentral:RNase_P_RNA from 2 species